GUUUCGGUAGCUCAAUUGGAUAGAGCAACAGACUUCUAAUCUGUAGGUUAUAGGUUCAAAUCCUAUCCGAAACGCGA
rnacentral:tRNA from 1 species